GUCUGGUCGAUCAAAUAGAAGGGGGCGACCAAGAGUUCAUUCCCCAAACCCUAGUUCUUACAAAUCAUUCAAAUUGAAGGAUUAAAUCAGUUCCAAAGCGAAAUCAGAGCCUAGUUUCAUGAUCUCCUCAUCAAAGGGAUCAUAAGGUAAGGAAUCCGGAUCGUCAAGUGGACAAGCCGAUGGAGAUACGCGUUUGAAGACGGUGCUUUAAAGAAACCAAGGAUGAUGAAUUACGCAAGUGAUGCUCGUUUGUUGUGGAUGUUGAUCAAGCAAGGGAAUCAAGAACCGAACACAAGUUUUGAAUGCUUCCGCGCUAAUCUAAUCUAGUUUUAAAACCUGUUGUUUUGUAAACUCUUUUGAAUGUUGAACAUUUUAAUCUAGUUAGUCGACUAUGUUUAAAUACAUAAUGACGUACAUCUUAGUUAUUAACUAAACUUUUGUUGGUCAUGUAUUUCGAAUAUAAAAAGUCCGUAUUUUAUGGUUAUAA
rnacentral:lncRNA from 1 species